GGUGGCUCAGUGGUACAGCACUUGUCUUGCAUGCAUGAGGCCCUGGGUUCGAUUCCUCAGCACCA
rnacentral:tRNA from 1 species